AAGUCGUAACAAGGUUUCCGUAGGUGAACCUGCGGAAGGAUCAUUAUCCAUCUAAAACCAGGUGCGGUCGCGGCCUCCGGGUGAAAGCCUGGGUGGUUUCGCGCCGCAUUCCUGCACCCUUUUUUACGAGCACCUUUGUUCUCCUUCGGCGGGGCAACCUGCCGCUGGAACUUAAUAAAACCUUUUUGCAUCUAGCAUUACCUGUUCUGAUACAAAUAAUCGUUACAA
rnacentral:misc_RNA from 1 species